rnacentral:rRNA from 1 species
CGGGACGGGUGAGUAAUGCUUGGGAAUCUGGCUUAUGAGGGGGAGUAACUACGGGAAACUGUAGCUAAUACCGCGUAGUAUCGAAGAUGAAAGUGCGGGACCGUAAGGCCGCAUGCCAUGGGAUGAGCCCAAGUGGGAUUAGGUAGUUGGUGGGGUAAAGGCCUACCAAGCCUGCGAUCUCUAGCUGGUCUGAGAGGAUGGCCAGCCACACUGGAACUGAGACACGGUCCAG